rnacentral:lncRNA from 1 species
GGGCAGCCUGGGCAACUGGAGCCACAGGGGAACAGCAAGAGGAGGGCUGUGCUUUCACAUUGGACCCUUAUAGAGGGCCUUGGCAGGCUCCCCUUCUCUCCCCGGCCAUUUUCUGGGCUUGAAUUCAGCAUUCAGUCGCUCUCCUCAUUAGAAAGAGUGGCUCCGUGGGUCUGCAGGAUCACUCAAUAGCCUUUGCCAUUGCUGGGAGAAGAACAUGCCCUCCAGAUCGAGAAACCUGGGGAACAAAGCCAGAUACAGCAGGCC